rnacentral:rRNA from 1 species
GAUGAACGCUGGCGGCGUGCCUAAUACAUGCAAGUCGAGCGAACAGACGAGGAGCUUGCUCCUCUGACGUUAGCGGCGGACGGGUGAGUAACACGUGGAUAACCUACCUAUAAGACUGGGAUAACUUCGGGAAACCGGAGCUAAUACCGGAUAAUAUAUUGAACCGCAUGGUUCAAUAGUGAAAGACGGUUUUGCUGUCACUUAUAGAUGGAUCCGCGCCGCAUUAGCUAGUUGGUAAGGUAACGGCUUACCAAGGCGACGAUGCGUAGCCGACCUGAGAGGGUGAUCGGCCACACUGGAACUGAGACACGGUCCAGACUCCUACGGGAGGCAGCAGUAGGGAAUCUUCCGCAAUGGGCGAAAGCCUGACGGAGCAACGCCGCGUGAGUGAUGAAGGUCUUCGGAUCGUAAAACUCUGUUAUUGGGGAAGAACAAAUGUGUAAGUAACUAUGCACGUCUUGACGGUACCUAAUCAGAAAGCCACGACUAACUACGUG